AAUGAACGCUGGCGGCGUGCUUAACACAUGCAAGUCGAACGGGAAAGGUCGAAAGACUGAGUAGAGUGGCGGACUGGUGCGUAACGCGUGGGAAUCUGCCCUACAGUGAAGGAUACCUUCGAGAAAUCGGAGCUAAUACUGCAUAAGCCCAGAAAUGGGGAAAGAUGGCCUCAAAGCUAUCGCUGAAGGAUGAGCCUGUGUACUAUUAGCUAGUUGGUGGGGUAAUGGCCUACCAAGGCAGAGAUGGUUAGCCGGCCUGAGAGGGUGUACGGCCACAUUGGGACUGGAGAUACGGCCCAGACUCCUACGGGUGGCUG
rnacentral:rRNA from 1 species